GAGAGGAUGAGAGAAAAGGAUGGUAGGGAUGAGUAACAAAAGUGAAAAUAAAAACUUGAAAGUAAAAAUAAUUUCAAAUAGAUUUUAGUUUUUAGUUUUCACUUUUGUUACUUCUCCCUCCCAUCCUCUCAAUCUCAUCUUCCU
rnacentral:miRNA from 1 species